rnacentral:rRNA from 1 species
GAUGAACGCUGGCGGCGUGCCUAAUACAUGCAAGUCGAGCGAACAGACGAGGAGCUUGCUCCUCUGACGUUAGCGGCGGACGGGUGAGUAACACGUGGAUAACCUACCUAUAAGACUGGGAUAACUUCGGGAAACCGGAGCUAAUACCGGAUAAUAUAUUGAACCGCAUGGUUCAAUAGUGAAAGACGGUUUUGCUGUCUCUUAUAGAUGGAUCCGCGCCGCAUUAGCUAGUUGGUAAGGUCACGGCUUACCAAGGCGACGAUGCGUAGCCGACCUGAGAGGGUGAUCGGCCACACUGGAACUGAGACACGGUCCAGACUCCUACGGGAGGCAGCAGUAGGGAAUCUUCCGCAAUGGGCGAAAGCCUGACGGAGCAACGCCGCGUGAGUGAUGAAGGUCUUCGGAUCGUAAAACUCUGUUAUUAGGGAAGAACAAAUGUGUAAGUAACUAUGCACGUCUUGACGGUACCUAAUCAGAAAGCCACGGCUAACUACGUG